rnacentral:rRNA from 1 species
CUGACCUACGGGGGGCAGCAGUGAGGAAUAUUGGUCAAUGGGCGGGAGCCUGAACCAGCCAAGUCGCGUGAGGGAAGACGGUCCUAUGGAUUGUAAACCUCUUUAGGCGGGGAGCAAUGCCGGGCACGCGUGCCCGGAGGGAGAGUACCCGCAGAAUAAGCAUCGGCUAACUCCGUGCCAGCAGCCGCGGUAAUACGGAGGAUGCGAGCGUUAUCCGGAUUUAUUGGGUUUAAAGGGUGCGUAGGCGGAUUUUUAAGUCAGCGGUAAAAUGUCCGGGCUCAGCCCGGGCCGGCCGUUGAAACUGG